CUUCUCCUAGACACUUCCUAAUUUGAAGCCCUACUUAGAAACAGAAGAAUGACAAGAGAUACUUCAGACAAUGGACUAAGAACAACAUGGGAAAUCUGCUGAUUUGUGCUUCAUCUAACGGCAAUAUAAUGUUUGGAUCAUACCCCAAGCCUCCAUGAAAGCCAAUCCCAAUAUAUGAAACCUCCAACAGAGAAUGUAGUCCUGAUCAUAACUGCAAAAUCUGACAACAACCAAAUGUUCAUCGACAAUAGAAUGGAUAAAUACAUGUGGUAUAAUCACACAGGAAUCUUAUUCAGCAAUGAAAAUGGGCACACUACAGCUGCAACAUGAUGAAUCUCAAGCAUAAUAUUAAGUGAAAGAAGCAAGUCAUGAACAUAUUUACAAUAUUAUCCCAUCUAUAUGAAGUCCCAAAGUAGGGUUUGCAGAAGGCUGCAGUGUUGAAUGGGACCGCAUUCUCAUCUGAAGGCUCAACUGAGGAUGGGUCAGUUGCUAAGUUCAUUCAUGUAGUUGCUGGCAGGAUUCAGUUGCUCACAUACCAUGGAACUCAAGGCUUUUAUGGAUAUUGGUGAGAAGCCCCCUCAGUUCCUUGCCAUAUGGUCCUCCCAACAUGCUCGCAACAUGGCAUAUGGCUUCCAUCAUAGCAAAGGCUGGUACAAUUCAUUAGGCUACAGACACAGAUGGAGAAGCAAGUGUUGGAGAAAAGAGCUGAGGGGAAAUCUGAACCCCAAGAUGAAUCCAGGGAGAACACCACAUGAAAACAAAGCAGAGAUCAGGAAUGCCAAAGGUUGCCAACAAACCACCAGAAACCCUCAGAAAGAGCCAACUCUGAUGACACCUGGAUCUUGGACUUUUGUCCUCCAGUACUGUGAGCCAAUAGAUUUCUACUGUUUAAGCCACUCAGUUGAAGGUACUUCAUUACAACAGCCCUAGGAAACUUACAUACUUCGAGAGAUAGAAGGUAAUGUCUCUCCGGACUAGAGGAAAGAAGGGGAAAUUGGGUUAUAGAAAAUAAAGGAAGCAAUCCCUAUCAAAAUAAUACCAGCAUUCUUCACAGAACUAGAAUAAACAAUUCUAAAAUUUAUAUGGAACCAGAAAAGACCCCAAAUAGCCAAAGCAAUCUUGAAAAAGAAAACCAAAGCUGGAGGCAUCACAGUCCUGGACUUCAAGAUGUAUUACAAGGCUGUAAUCAUUAAGACAGUAUGGUACUGGCACAAAAGCAGACAGACCAAUGGAACAGAAUAGAGAACCCAGAAAUGGACCCACAAAUGUAUGGCCAACUGAUCUUUGACAAAGCAGGAAAGAAUAUCCAAUGGAAUAAAGACAGUCUCUUCAGCAAACGGUGCUGGGAAAACUGGACGGCAACAUGCAGAAAAAUGAACCUGGACCACUUUCUUACACCAUCCACAAAAAUUAACUCAAAAUGGAUGAAAGACAUAACAUAAGACAGGAAGCCAUCAAAAUCCUAGAGGGGAAAUCAGGAAAAAACCUCUUUGACCCCAGCCACAGCAACUUCUUACUCAACAUGUCUCCAGAGGCAAGGGAAACAAAAGCAAAAAUGAACCAUUGGGACCUCAUCAAAAUAAAAAUUUUCUGCACAGCGAAGGAAACAAUCGGCAAAACUAAAAGGCAACCAACAGAAUGGGAGAAAAUAUUUGCAAAUGACAUAUCUGAUAAAUGGUUACUUUCCAAAAUCUAUAUAGAACUUAUCAAACUCAAUGCCAAAAAGAAAAAAAUCAAAUAAAAAACCCAAAUAAUCCAGUGAAGAAACAGGCAAAAGACCUGAAUAGAUACUUCUCCAAAGUAGACAUCCAGAUGGCGAACCGACACAUGAAAAAAUGCUCAAUGUCAUUCAUCAUCAGGGAAAUACAAACCAAAACCACAAUGAGAUACCACCUUACACCUGCCAGAAUGGCUAACAAUAACCACUCAGGCAAUGAUAGCGUUGGCAAGGAUGCAGGGAAAGAGGAUCUCUUUUGCACUGCUGGUGGGAAUGUAAACUGGGUGUAGCCACUCUGGGAAACAGUAUGGAAGUUCCUCAAAAAAUUAAAAAUAGAACUAUCCUAUGACCCAGCAAUUGCACUAUUAGGUAUUUAUCCAAGGGAUACAGGUGUGCUACUUCAAAGAGGCACAUGCACCCCAAUGUUUAUAGCAGCACUAUCAACAAUAGCCAAAGUAUGGAAAGAGCCCAAAUGUCCAUCGACAGAUGAAUGGAUAAAGAAGAUAUGGUAUAUAUACUAUGGAGUAUUACUAGGCAAUCAAAAAGAAUGAAAUCUUACCAUUUGCAAUUAUGUGGAUUGAACCAGAGAGUAUUAUGCUAAGCGAAAUAAGUCAGUCAGAGAAAGACAAAUAUCAUAUGACUUCACUCAUAUGAGGACUUUAAGAUACAAAACAGAUGAACAUAAGGGAAGGGAAGCAAAAAUAACGUAAAAACAGGGAGGGGGACAAAACAUAAGAGACUCUUAAAUAUAGAGAACAAACAGAGGGUUACUGGAAGGGUUAUAGAAGGGGGGAUGGGCUAAAUGGAGAAGGGGCACUAAGGAAUCUACUCCUAAAAUCAUUGUUGCACUAUAUGCUAACUAACUUGGAUGUAAAUUUAUAAAUAAAUAAAUAAAUAAAUUUUUAAAAAAGAAA